CAACCCUCCCUAUAGGAAGAGUUAGAAUUAAUCAUAUGGUGUGUUAUUAGUUUCUAGUUAAUUGUUUGGUGAUUUUUAUUUGUUAAAUAGUAGUAAUAAGUUUGAUUGGUCCACAAAAAAACAUGUUUUAUUGUGGAAAUAAAACUAAGUGCUAAAUAUUCAGUUAAUUAGUUACUACAAUGUAAGUUUAAUAUUUUAUUUUACUAUUAAUGUAAAUUUGUUUGGUUUGAUAGAAUGAAAUAAAGUUUGUUACCAACAAUAAAUUGGUCCAA
rnacentral:lncRNA from 1 species